rnacentral:tRNA from 1 species
GCUCGGGUGGUGGAAUGGCAGACACGCUAGGUUGAGGGCCUAGUAGCCGUCAAAGGCUGUGGGGGUUCGAAUCCCCCCCCGAGCACCA